rnacentral:ncRNA from 16 species
CCUUGCGUAAUAAUCUCAGGUUUAUCAUAGUUCAAAUAUUCAGGGAAUCCCGUAAAAACGGGAGCUGCCCCGCAACUGUAACCGGUGACGAGCUCUGCACUAUGCCACUGUCGUGAUUGGGAAAGAGAUCACCGCAGAGGCGCAAAGAGCGCAAAGGAAAAGGACGAGGACGAGGUAAGAAACCUGGAAGAUGGGAAUGCAAUAACAAGGCCUCUUUAUUUCCUAAUCUUCUGUUUUUCUUUGCGACCUCUGCGUCUUUGCGGUGAGACGAUCUCAAGGGAUGGGAAGGCGCAGAACGUAGGAUGACCCGGCAGCCAGGAGACCUGUUUGAGCACACAUUUAUUAA